rnacentral:rRNA from 1 species
AUACGUAGGGUGCAAGCGUUAAUCGGAAUUACUGGGCGUAAAGCGCGCGCAGGUGGUCCUUUAAGUCUGAUGUGAAAGCCCACGGCUCAACCGUGGAGGUGCAUUGGAAACUGGGGGACUUGAGUGCAGAAGAGGAUAGUGGAAUUCCAAGUGUAGCGGUGCAAUGCGUAGAGAUUUGGAGGAACACCAGUGGCGAAGGCGACUGUCUGGUCUGUAACUGACACCGAGGCGCGAAAGCGUGGGGAGCAAACAGGAUUAGAUACCCUGGUAGUCCACGCCGUAAACGAUGAGUGCUAAGUGUUGGGGGGUUUCCGCCCCUCAGUGCUGCAGCUAACGCAUUAAGCACUCCGCCUGGGGAGUACGGUCGCAAGACUGAAACUCAAAGGAAUUGACGGGG